rnacentral:rRNA from 1 species
GUGCCAGCAGCCGCGGUAAUACGUAGGUGGCAAGCGUUAUCCGGAAUUAUUGGGCGUAAAGCGCGCGUAGGCGGUUUUUUAAGUCUGAUGUGAAAGCCCACGGCUCAACCGUGGAGGGUCAUUGGAAACUGGAAAACUUGAGUGCAGAAGAGGAAAGUGGGAUUCCAUGUGUAGCGGUGAAAUGCGCAGAGAUAUGGAGGAACGCCAGUGGCGAAGGCGACUUUCUGGUCUGUAACUGACGCUGGUGUGCGAAAGCGUGGGGAUCAAACAG